AACGUAAAUUACACGGAACUGUAGUGAUACAUUUAAGCACCAUAAUUGCAGGUUUAGUCGCACACCGACUUUGGACCCAUGACUUUUUUGGUAUGUAUUACCCUGUAUAGGUUUUUUUUUACAGUUACCGAAGAAUAACAUUAUAAUACUCGGUCUCGGGUGCAAUGAAUCAACAUUCGACCUUUCUGUUUUUUUUUUUUUAAAAAGAGUUACAGAUGGUUAUAUAAAGAAUAUGCCUUCGUGCUUCUUGUCUGGGAUUGAUUGCAAGGAUCGGGAAUACAUUU
rnacentral:snoRNA from 1 species